ensembl:snoRNA
UGCAGUCAAGUCAAAUUCAGCACUCAUUUCAUCAUGCUGGGGUCUGGCCCAGAUUGCUGCUGCAGCAAGCUCUGCUGCUUAUGGACUAUAUACGUCCCCUGCCUGGGACCUGGGGAUAAAUUUGGCUGUAGACAUUG